AUGCAGCUUGUGUGUUCAGCUGUGACAAAGAGUUAACGGGGGCCCACAAUACUCAGGGGGAUUAAUUGGAUAAACAGUUCUGAGUAAGGGUGAUAAAACAGGAUUAGAGUGUGCUAGCAUAGCUCAAAAAUCCUCACCAAAAGGCUGCCAAGGCAGAUAAGCACCAUCCAUGUUUGGUAAGAUCCGGCAUCAGACUUCACCAGGCAGUUGGAAUCGCUUGUCAGAACAGGUCAGAAGUCUUUCCCACCUCCUGUAAGCUCUGACAAGUUUGUAAGUACUCCAUCCUCAGCUUAGUUUGCUCAGACAGACAGCAGGCUCAAAAUAGCAGUCACUAAAUUAGAGGCUGGGUUAAGAUCCUUUGAAAAUCUGGAUCUGGAAUCAUGGCAAGUUUAGUUUAGAUUGUCAUCUUGUUAACCCUGUUCAGGGAGUACAGGUUAUUGGUUUAUCACCAGUCUCUCUCUGGGCUCUGGAAAACAAUGCCCUAUUGUGACUUGUUAACCCUAUAUAUUCCAAGUUCUUUUCACUGCAGAUGGAUUUCUGGUUCUUACCACACGUGCUUAUAAACUCAAUUAAAAAAACACUGAAAGAUGCCAACUCUCUUCACCAGACAGGAAGAAACAAACACAGAGAAAUAUAUUUCAGCAUCAAAAGAAGCUGCGGAAAUCUAGAUCAGGACUGACAUCAGCCCUAGCAAACCCUAUUAAUCAGAAAGUAGGAAGACUCAGAAAUUUUCCUCCAGGACACGCUGGUUCAGCAUGCAAAAGUACCAAAUAUGCCCUCAUAGUUUGACAUGAUUUGACUUUGAGAUGAAUGUGGGUGUCAGACAAUCAAGAUAACGAGAAUACUACCACCAUGAAAGUUUUGCCUUCACCAUGUACCACCCAUUCUAGCAAGAACUGUUGCAGAGAUACUGUACAGGAUUGCACUUUUCUGCACUGAGACCUACAAAUAUGACCUGACAUUGUAGAAACAAUUUCAUAGUAUCCAGUGAAGCAUAAUCAGACAAGGAAUUGCCAGAGGAUAGUGAAAGUGAUGAAAAGACUGACAUGGACAAUAAUGUGUAAUGCAUGUAUGUGCGGCAAGACAACACAUUAAGAAAUUUCCAAGAAUAUAUGCAUGAACUUACUGCAAAAAGCAUGUCCGCACAUAUAUUUUAGUGAAUACAGUGACUAUUUACAACUAGUUUAAUUUUGUUCAUUGUAAUUGUCCUACUUGGAUAUAUCAUAAAAAUAUAAGACAGAUGCCUUAAUAUCUUAAUUUUAACUUACACAUGUUUACAUUCACAUAUCUUUGUUGUUUUCAUGAAGAUCACAACUUAUGUUGCAAUUGACAGGCCUUUACCUGAUUUUAAACAAAAUGGAAGAAAUCAAACAUUCAUUUUCUUACC